AGAGUGAUCUUAUGAGUAUAAAGCUUCUUGUACUCAUAAGUUUUUGGCCGUUAGAUCUACCUUUUAAUCAUUUUUACCAGUUAGAUUAUACUAUUCAACUAACUACCCACUCAACCCUAGGGGGACCCACUAUCAACCUAACCGUAACCACUCUCAUCCUAACCGCACAUUUUUUCAUCCGAACGACUGAAAAAUUUAUGAGUA
rnacentral:lncRNA from 1 species